UCCUGGGUGGCUCAGAUGGUAAAGCGUCUGUCUACAAUGCAGGAGACCUGGGUUCGAUUCCUGGGUCGGGAA
rnacentral:tRNA from 1 species